ACCACCUAUGCACACCUCUAUGGAAUACAUCACCUCUGUAGAAUCAUCACCUAAAGAUUAUAUCACCUCUGUAGAAUCAUCACCUAAAGAUUAUAUCACCUCUGUAGAAUCAUCACCUGUAGAAUACACCACCUAUGCGCACCUCUAUGGAAUACAUCACCUCUGUAGAAUCAUCACCUGUAGAAUACACCACCUAUGCGCACCUCUAUGGAAUACAUCACCUCUGUAGAAUCAUCACCUGUAGAAUACACCACCUAUGCGCACCUCUAUGGAAUACAUCACCUCUGUAGAAUCAUCACCUGUAGAAUACACCACCUAUGCGCACCUCUAUGGAAUACAUCACCUCUGUAGAAUCAUCACCUGUAGAAUACACCACCUAUGCGCACCUCUAUGGAAUACAUCACCUCUGUAGAAUCAUCACCUGUAGAAUACACCACCUAUGCGCACCUCUAUGGAAUACAUCACCUCUGUAGAAUCAUCACCUGUAGAAUACACCAUCUAUGCGCACCUCUAUGGAAUACAUCACCUCUGUAGAAUCAUCACCUGUAGAAUACAUCACCUAUGCGCACCUCUAUGGAAUACAUCACCUCUGUAGAAUCAUCACCUGUAGAAUACACCACCUAUGCGCACCUCUAUGGAAUACAUCACCUCUGUAGAAUCAUCACCUAAAGAUUAUAUCACCUCUGUAGAAUAAUCACCUGUAGAAUACAUCACCUCUGUUCACCUCUCUAGAAUCAUCCCCUAUAAAAUACAUUGCCUCUGUUCACCUCUGUACUGUAGAAUCAUCACCUACUGUAUACAAUCACCCCUGUUAUUUAGCAAACAAGCAAACAAACCACUUUAAGUCUGAGUCAGUGGAUCUUCUGGCCAGUCCAUCCGUUUCAGAAUCUUGACAAACAAAAAGAGAAGGAUUAUUUGAUUUUAAUUUUAAAAUGCAAAAUCGGAACAUGAGAAUCAUGUAAUUUUCCAUUUUCUCCACUGGUUUCAGGUAUGAAAGUACAAACUGGGAAAUCAUUUUUUAUUUUUAAGAUUCAUGAGCCCAAAUUUGAAUUUAAAUAUAUUUGCUUGGCCUUUAUGGUAGAAAGUUUUGUUUGCUAGGGAGAAAGAAAAGUUGGUAGCCUCUUAUGUAGCUCUAUGUCCCUCCCCAGAGGCUGUGUAAUAUGUCCAUUUUUAUUUAGGCACCCAUGUGAACAGAGUUCACACUGCCAUGGUGUUUUCCACAAAAGAGGCCAGCGUGUCAAAAGAAGCCCUGUGAAAAGAUAGUGAAAGAUAACAGUGUUCGGACAUAACCCUGGCUCUGUGAAUUGAAAACUAACACAGGGGUGCACCCACACACAGUGUCAAUCAACAGG